UGGGUUGUAGCUCAGGGGUAGAGCACUCGCCUCACAUGUGUGAAGUGUGGGUUUGAUCCUCAACACCACAG
rnacentral:tRNA from 1 species